AGUUCUUGUAUGAGCAUGUCCAGAUGUGUCUUUGAGAUGUUGGAGUAACACAAAGCAGAGAACCGCUUCAGUUAUAUCGUGAUCAACAUGUCGCGUUAGAAUAUCUUCUAGAUUUGGAUGUUUGAUGUGUUUUCUAAAUACAAGGAUGAUCAUCUGGUUGGCGGGGCGACGUCGAGCACCUACGCCAUGACUGCAACAUUCUAGUGAACAACGUCAUGGACAUGAGACACAUUGUGGCGAAGGUGCGCUCUCGAGGACAACAGGUCUCAAGACCCUCACGCAUGAGGUGAUGGGCAUGCUGAUCGACAAGACCAAACAAAUGACGCUCAUUUGGUGGGCCAGACCUCUAUUGUCCCUAGUAGGUCUAGUACACCAUCGUCGAUUAUGUGUCCUACGCGAUUGGUCGGCUGCUGCUCACUAGGGAGCACACGAAAUACAUAGAUAUCGUCGUUGCAA